UGAUGCACGCGAACAGCCAGAAACAUCGGUAUAUUCCGUGUGGAAACUGGAAAGUAUUUAUUAGUCAUGCAAUGUUUUCAACCUCUAACCUUAACCAAAUGUAGUGUUACAAUUAUUAUCCCUUGACAUUUAAACAAAUGCGUUACAGUUGUCAUCCUCUGACGUUUAAUUUCUAUAUUUGGUCGUAUUAGAUAUUGAAUUACAGUUCUACAGGAAGAUUGUCAAUAUCUUAUUGAUGACAGCCAUUGUUUUUUUCUUAUUUUUUGGUUUAUUUCCAGAUCAGUUGGUGAAACUGAAUAAUUACGCCUUUAAUAAACCUGCCAAACAAUCGUCCACGGACAGAACGAGUGAUUUCCUACCGGAAGUAGAUGGUGAUGCUAGUCUCGCAGUCGACGGAAGUUUAGACACUUGUUCAAGAACUGAUGGCCAGCCGUCCCCAACUUGGAGAGUGGAUUUUGGUAGAUUAAUGCCCGUUGGCAGCAUUAGAUUAUAUCUAAGUAAUUUUACAUAUGAUGAUAAUAUAGAUAUAUUUGUCGGAAUGAGUAAGAAGAUAACAGAAAACAGAUUAUGUAUACGUCAUCAACAUCAAUCUAGAACACCUAUACCUGAUAUAAGAUUAAAGUGUAUGUCAGAAUUAAGUGGGAGGUAUAUGGGAAUAAUAUUAAAUAUUAACGGAACUAUAGAUGAAACUAAAGUACUGGUAUUAUGUGAAGUGAUGGUGUUUGGUCGCUAGUCAUAAAAUACAACAGUCGUAUUAAUCAUAUUUCAUUAACAUAAAACAAGUUGUGAACCCCCGUACUAAAUGGUAGUGAGUAACACACGGGUGUCUUUUGGUUUUUUACAUAGUAGCAUACUCUGACUCAUGAACAGCACUCUUCACAUCACGCAUACUAACCGUAACAAUGUUUCAAGAUUGAAAAUGUCUUUAGUGCAGUGAUAAAUAUACUAAAAAUUGGAUAUUAUAUUAUUUUCAACCGACUAAAUGGGAUGAAUGGUCAUAAGAGCGUUUUACGUUUUAGACGUACUCCGCCUCGUGAAUGACAUCCUUCAUCUUGUCAAGGUAUGCUAGAAAUAACAAAGUUCCAAUUGCGAAUAUGGCUUUAAUGGAGUAGUCAUUAAAAUUGGAUAUUGCCUUGUUUUCAACGACUUGAAAUUAUAAGUUGAAAUGUCUUCUCAUCAAUUCCGGAUUUAGUAAUCAGCAUCGUGAACGCCAUGUCUCGCCGCUCUUACUAACAAUAACAAAUUUCAAGUGUAAAAAUCAACGACUAGGAAUGACACCACUUUUGAAUGUAGACUCCAGCGUCUACUAAUAUUUAAGAUAGUGAUUGUGCGGUGAGAAGAAAUUAUUUCUGGUGAGAAUCUCAACUUAUAUUAAUAUGAAUAUCCCUCAAAGACGUUACCUGAACAUUUUUAUCAUUGCAUUUGGUGUUUUAGUGAUUUGUAUAUUUAUGGACUUGGCUGCCUUUCGUAACGGAAAGCCAGACAAUCGGCUAAUGUCGUCAUUGUAAUAUUAUGAGGAAAGUCAGACAACCGGCUAUGGUCGUCAUUGUGUGAGGAUAGCCAGUCAACCGGUUGAUGUCGUCAUUGUAAUAUUAGUUUUAUAAACUUGUAAUGGGGUGUAACGUCUCAUUAACAAAAUAGUACAGACAUUUUGAGACUAACAUUAUAUUUCAAUGAUUACGAUGCCAACUACCAAAGUUCCUCUGCGUGUUUCAUCAACUCAAUCUUUGACACAGAGAGUGGAGUUUUGAAUCUAAUUACAUUAAAUGCGGUGUUCCCGAUAAAAAUUAAAAUAUGUAAUCAUAUGCUGUUGACUUUUAUCGGCACCAUUUUUAGAAUUGGGAUUGAUCAUAGAAAUUGGACUGAAACGGUCUGUGUCUGUUAUUUGUGGGGUUGUUCCUUGAUGGUAUGCCUGCAAGGGCCUUAGAUAUCUUUUACCCUUUUCCCUGUUUUGUUUUGAGGACAAUGUCCAGACUGAUCAUUAUAGGCACUAGCACUGUAUCUAUAUCCAUGACACUGACGUGAAUUAUUGUUUUCUAUCUUUGGUUUGGUGUCGUUUCUUAUGCUAAUCGCAGUCUGGAUUACCGAGACAUGUCUUGGUGAGGUAGACUGUGUCAACCAGGGUGACGUAUUAUGACGUAACGUUUUGCCGACCACAGUUUGGGUGACCAAGAGGUCAGUUAGCAAAGUAAAGUAGACUUGGUGAGGUAGACUAUGUCAAUCAGCUUGACAUUGACGUAACGUAACGUAACUUCCCAUUCUACUCAUAGAGUGUUACUAAUAUUUGUAUCUCGUCAAUUUCUCAGGCAACCUCUAAGUUAGCUGGUUAUUAUUUUGUUGAUAGCUUGUCUAUUAGAAUCGGUGUAGCCAGCAAACAAUAGUAACUGACUUUAAGACGUUGCCUGUGAUUUUAUCAUGUUUUGUCACUUGUCAUUUAUAUCAACAACAUACAUUCUAUGUAAACAGUUUCUUAUAAAAAAUAAAGUUUCUAUUUUAACCUGG